GACUGCUGGAGCCGCCCAGUUUGCUCAGGCACGCUGCUGCUGAGCCCAUUGUCUUCUUCCGAGAGACGUACUCCUAUCCCCCAUACCCUGAUCCCCCAAUCCCCCAUGGUUGCUCACUUGCCGUGAAUCUCUGAUUUAGACAAAUGUCAAUAUUUUCGGCACAAAUCUGAAUUUGUCUACACCCGGAAGCUCCUCCUAUCCUUCAAGCUACUUUGAUUCAGUGGAGUCUCGAGGCUGCAGGCAUGCGGCAACCUCGGUUUCAAUUUGUCCAGAGACAGGAGUUAGGCAGCCAUGUGCACGUCAACAGCGGUGCGUACAGCCGGUGGACGCUUGGGUCCUUCGUCAACGGUGAAUCCCAUAACAAUCUUGAAACAUGAUGGAACCAUAUCCAGUGAUGCACUAUGAAGUAAGUUAUCCGGCCCGCACAAAGACCCGUCAAGCCUGCAAAGGAUGACAGUGUGGACUUGGAUGGAACAAAGAGUUGAUCAAAACCGACACCAUGUAUUCUUAUGGAUGUAUGAGCCAUCUCACUGUAGGUGGACCUUUUCUCGCCAGCACGACUUACUUUAUUUUAUGCUUUGUUGAGUGUAAUCUCCAAUUUCGUUUGCAGGGUGAGAUGCAGACCAAGGACGACCACUUGACGCAGAGGGAUGCAUGGUUGUGUAGCGGCUUCGGUUGCACAUCUCAUGUAACUGCCGGGAUUGCGGAGAAGUGGUGGUGACAACACAUGAGUGACCUAGAUGGUGGCGAUACUUGUGCAUCCGAUCUCAAGCUUCGGGGUGAAGAGCCUAGGUCUGGCCCAAGGUGGUCAUACCUAGCAAUGGCAAUGUUUUUUUUACGUUGUUAUCUUGUUGAAGGCAUUGUUGGAUAUGUUUGGACUAAUUCUUUAGGGUGCAAACCUAGAUUCUUGGCUUGUUGGUUGGAUCUGGUGACAACGGUGCUUGAGCGUCACUCCCUUCUUGAAGGCGUUGUUGUUUAAGAACCUCGUUGUCCAUGUGGCGUCAUGAGAUGGUUGGCGUGGAUAUGAUCAUUGUUGUAGUUUGCGAUCGCAUAUCUAUUUUUUGGGG